rnacentral:rRNA from 1 species
UGAGGAACAUGACCUUCGGCGGGGGAUAGCCGGCCCAACGGCCGGGUAAUACCGCGUACGACCACAUGGGGACAUCCCCGAGUGGUGAAAGCAGCAAUGCGCCGAUGGAGUGCCUCGCGGCCUAUCAGCUAGUUGGUGAGGUAACGGCUCACCAAGGCGACGACGGGUAGCUGGUCUGAGAGGAUGGCCAGCCACAUUGGGACUGAGACACGGCCCAGACCUCCGUAGGGAGG